GAUGAAGAACGUAGCGAAAUGCGAUAAGUAAUGUGAAUUGCAGAAUUCAGUGAAUCAUCGAAUCUUUGAACGCACAUUGCGCCCGCCAGUAUUCUGGCGGGCAUGCCUGUUCGAGCGUCAUUUCAACCCUCAGGCCCCCAGUGCCUGGUGUUGGGGAUCGGCCCAGCCUUCCUGUAAGGCCGCCGGCCCCGAAAUCUAGUGGCGGUCUCGCUGUAGUCCUCCUCUGCGUAGUAGCACAACCUUGCAGUUGGAACGCGGCGGUGGCCAUGCCGUUAAACACCCCACUUCUGAAAGUUGACCUCGGAUCAGGUAGGAAUACCCGCUGAACUUAAGCAUAUCAAUAAGCGGAGGA
rnacentral:misc_RNA from 1 species